GACGUUACCUACAGAAGAAGCACCGGCUAACUCCGUGCCAGCAGCCGCGGUAAUACGGAGGGUGCGAGCGUUAAUCGGAAUUACUGGGCGUAAAGCGCAUGCAGGCGGCCUGUUAAGUCAGAUGUGAAAGACCCGGGGCGUUAACCUCGGAAUUGCAUUUGAAACUGGCAGGCUAGAGUCUUGUAGAGGGGGUAGGAAUUUCAGGUGUAGCGGUGAAAUGCGUAGAGAUCUGAAGGAAUACCAGUGGCGAAGGCGGCCCCCUGGACAAAGACUGACGCUCAGAUGCGAAAGCGUGGGGAGCAAACAGGAUUAGAUACCCUGGUAG
rnacentral:rRNA from 1 species